GGGAUCGCCUCAGUAACGGCGAGUGAAGCGGCAACAGCUCAAAUUUCGAAAUCUGGCCCCUUCGGGGCCCGAGUUGUAAUUUGUAGAGAGUGUUUCGGGUGAGACCACGGUCUAAGUCCAUUGGAACAUGGCGUCAUAGAGGGUGAGAAUCCCGUAUGUGACCGUGGAUCGAGCCCAUGUGAAGCCUCUUCAACGAGUCGAGUUGUUUGGGAAUGCAGCUCAAAAUGGGUGGUAAAUUUCAUCUAAAGCUAAAUACUGGCUGGAGACCGAUAGCGCACAAGUAGAGUGAUCGAAAGAUGAAAAGCACUUUGGAAAGAGAGUCAAACAGUACGUGAAAUUGUUGAAAGGGAAGCGCUUGCAACCAGACCUGUCCGUAGGUGAUCAGCCGCUGUUUUCAGCGGUGCACUCGCUCUGCGAUCAGGCCAGCAUCGGUUUCGGCGGUCGGAUAAAGGCCUUGGGAAUGUAGCUUCCCUUCGGGGGAGUCUUAUAGCCCUCGGUGCCAUGCGGCCAGCCGGGACCGAGGACCGCGCUUCGGCUAGGAUGCUGGCGUAAUGGUUGUAA
rnacentral:rRNA from 1 species